UGGGGAAUCUUGCACAAUGGGCGAAAGCCUGAUGCAGCGACGCCGCGUGCGGGAUGAAGGCCUUCGGGUUGUAAACCGCUUUCAGCAGGGACGAGGCCGCAAGGUGACGGUACCUGCAGAAGAAGCCCCGGCUAACUACGUGCCAGCAGCCGCGGUAAUACGUAGGGGGCAAGCGUUAUCCGGAUUUACUGGGCGUAAAGGGUGCGUAGGUGGUCUUUCAAGUCGGUGGUUAAAGGCUACGGCUCAACCGUAGUUAGCCUCCGAAACUGGAAGACUUGAGUGCAGGAGAGGAAAGUGGAAAUCCCAGUGUAGCGGUGAAAUGCGUAGAUAUUGGGAGGAACACCAGUAGCGAAGGCGGCUUUCUGGACUGCAACUGACACUGAGGCACGGGAGAGUGGGUAGCAAACAGG
rnacentral:rRNA from 1 species